GUUUCAGCUGCAGAUAAAAGCAGCUGAUGAACCAUGUGGGUGUUCUGUUUCACUGUGGCUUGUCCGGCCCCGCUGCUUCUGAAAAAGGGCCAGAAGGUUGCGUACUUCUGGUGUAACGAAGUUUGAAAAGCACUGCUUUAAGAUGGACUGCUGGGCAAACUGUAGCAUGCUUCAGACUUCCUCACCUACUUCACACUUUUCCUUUCAGACGUGGCAACAUUUCACUGCUGAAUCUUCUCCGAACAGUAGUUGCCAGCAAUAAAAGAUCUACAAUUUCUGCUUCCCAAAACUCUAAGUUUCAUCCUCAUUUCUUCUGAGCUGUAAUUAACGCCCUUAAGUAAACUUAUUUCCCCAA